rnacentral:tRNA from 1 species
GGCAAGAUGGCCGAGUUGGUUAUGGCGUAGGAUCAGGGUUCCUAUGGAGCAAUCCGCGUGGGCUCAAGUCCCACUCUUGUCA